rnacentral:rRNA from 1 species
CGAAGGGUAUAUGGUGGAUGCCUUGACACACGAACGACGAUGAAGGACGUAGGAGCCUGCGAUAAGCCUCGGGGAGGUGGCAACCAACCUGUGAUCCGGGGAUAUCCGAAUGGGGAAACCCCCUGUCCGUUUGGACGGGAUCAUGCACUGAAUACAUAGGUGUAUGAAGAACACCUGGUGAAUUGAAACAUCUUAGUAGCCAGAGGAAAAGAAACUAACUCUUCGCGCAAGCGAAGAAACAUUCCCUUAGUAGUGGCGAGCGAACGGGGAAAAGCCAAAACUCUUCUCUCUCUUUGCAGCAAUGCAAGGUAUGGGUGUAGGCCCAAUGGAAGAAGGGCGUUGUGAGAAAAUUAUUUUGAACACGUGAAAUUCUAUGGGAAACCAGGGCGACUAUCGCUCUAAGGCUAAAUACGUCGUGUGAUCUAUAGUGAACAAGUACCGUGAGGGAAAGGUAAAAAGCACCCCGGUGAGGGGAAUGAAAAGUAUCUGAAACCAUAUACUUACAAGCAGUCAGCGUCCCGCAUUGCGGGAUCAUGGCGUGCCUAUUGAAGAAUGAGCCAACGAGUUUGUUCGGUAGAGUGCGGCCAAGCCCGAAAAGGGCCAAGCCACAGUGAAAGCGAGCGUGAUAAACGCGACCUAUUCAUUCUACCGACAAGACCCGAAGCCGUGUGACCUAUCCAUGGACAGGAUGAACUCCGCAGAAAUGCGGGGGAAGGUCCGAACCCACGCGCCGUACAACACGCGGGGACGAUCUGUGGAUAGCGGAGAAAUUCCAAUCGAACUCGGCAAUAGCUGGUUCUCCUCGAAAUAGCUUGAGGGCUAGCCUCCCGAAAUUUCUUACUGGUGGUAGAGCACUGAAUUGGUGAAGAUGGCGUAAGCCUACUUUACUAAACCAAACUCCGAAUGCCAGUGUAGAUUAUCGGGGGAGUCAGACCGUGGGGGCGAAGCUUCACCGGUCAAAAGGGAAACAGCCCAGAUCCUCAUAUAAGGUCCCUAAAUCGAGAUUAAGUGUUAAAGGAGGUGCAAAAGUUCAGACAACUAGGAGGUUUGCUUAGAAGCAGCAAUCCUUUAAAGAAAGCGUAACAGCUCACUAGUCAAGCUCUUGCGCACCGAAAAUGUACCGGGGCUCAAAUCUCGUACCGAAUAUGGGAACUUCUGCCUUUUAGGCAGAAUUGGUAGAGGAGCGUUCGAAGUGCGGUGAAGUCGUUUCGACAAGAAACGGUGGAGCGCUUCGAAGUGAGAAUGUUGGCAUAAGUAGCACAAAGACGGGUGAGAACCCCGUCCACCGAAAACUCAAGGUUUCCUGGGCAACGCAAAUCGUCCCAGGGUUAGUCGGUCCUAAGGCGAGGCUGAAUAUGCGUAGCCGAUGGACAGCUGGUUAAUAUUCCAGCACCGCCACUGUAUGUAUGCGUUUUGACGCACGGGUAAAUUGUCUGCGUGUUCUGGUUAUGCACGCUCUUGGUCUGGCGUAAAGUCGGAUUGAGAGAAGGUUGCGGCGCAAGCCAAGACCAACAGAUAAGGAUCACGUGCCGCGAAAAGAAACGUAUACUUCAAUGCAGUGGUGUCCGUACCGCAAACCGACACAGGUGAGUAAGGAGAGAAUCCUAAGGUGAACGAGAGAACCCUCGUUUAGGAACUCGGCAAUACAACGGCCGUACCUUUGGUAUAUGGCCUGUCGCCGCAAGGCGACCUCAGUAAAAGAUCUCAAGCGACUGUUUAUCAAAAACACAGGUCCCUGCUAAACCGAAAGGUGAUGUAUAGGGGCUGAUGCCUGGCCAGUGUCAGAACGUUAAGGUGAGGGGUGCAAGCUCCGAGCUGAAGCGCUGACGAACGCCGGCGGUAACUAUAACCGUCCUAAGGUAGCGAAAUUCCUUGUCGGGUAAGUUCCGACCUGCACGAAUGGCAUAACGACUUGAGAACUGUCUCAACGAGGGACUCGGCGAAAUUACAAGAUGAGUGAAGAUGCUCAUUACCCGCGGCUAGACGAAAAGACCCCGUGAAGCUUUACUACAACUUGGCAUUGUCAUAACGUUUUUACUGCCGAGAAUACGUGGGAGACUAUGAAGGUUUGCCUUUGGGCGGACUGGAGUCGCAAUAUGGAAUACCACGCUGGAAUGAUGUUAUGACUAACCUCUUGCCCUUAUCGGGCAGAGAGACAGUGUCUGGUGGGUAGUUUGACUGGGGCGGUCGCCUCCCAAAACGUAACGGAGGCGUUUACAAAGGUUGGCUAAGCUCGGAUGGAAAUCGAGCUGAUAGGGCAAAGCCAUAAGCCAGCUUUACUGCAAGACGUACAUGUCGAGCAGUUGCGAAAGCAGAACUUAGUGAUCCGACCGUAUGUGGCGUAUUGCAUGCUUGUCCCGAAUUUAUUUCGGGAUCUGCAGCAGUAUGUCCUCGAUAUAGGACGGCGGAAGCUCAUCGGAUAAAAGCUACUCCGUGGAUAACAGGCUGAUCUCCUCCAAGAGUCCACAUCGACGAGGAGGUUUGGCACCUUAACGACGAAAUCGGGGUGCUAUGAAAGUAAUUUCAUACCAAGAGAAAAAUAAAUUCGGCUUAUAACGGUGAACUCCUCAUUGCACACCGAUAGGGUGCAAAAGGACAAUACCGUCGGUACGCGAGCUGGGUUCAGAACGUCGUAAGACAGUUCGGUCUCCUAUCUGCCGUGGGCGUUAGAAAUUUGAGAAGACUCUUCCCUAGUACGAGAGGACCGGGAAGAACGAACCUCUCGUCGACGAGUUGUCCCACCAGGGGCAUUGCUCGGUAGCGACGUUCGGCACGGAUAAGCGCUGAAAGCAUAUAAGCGUGAAGCCGUCUUCAAGAUUAAAUUUCUUUUAAGCUCCCCGAGAGAUGAUCGGGUCGAUAGGCUCUACGUGGAAGUCCUGUAAAGGAUGAAGCGGAGGAGUACUAAUAGAGCGUAGAGC